AUAGAAACAUUGAGAGGGGCAGUAUGUCUAUUAAUGCUUACUAAGCGAGUCAGGGACGGUGGGAGCCUGAUGUAAGUGAAUAGAAGGAAAAUCACCCUUGAGUUCUGCGCUGAACAUCAUUAAGCCGAACUGGCAUUAUAUAAUGAAUUAGAACAACUGACCAUAAGGUUGUCAUAAUUCAUACGAGUAGGACGCAGCGGGAUCAUUCACGUUACGAAUGUAUGAGCAGGACAAAUGUAUUUAAUUUGUCAAGCAAGGGUGGUACCGCGGGAACCUUCUCGUCCCUUUU
rnacentral:ncRNA from 1 species